rnacentral:rRNA from 1 species
CGGAUUCUGGCUCAGGAUGAACGCUAGCGACAGGCUUAACACAUGCAAGUCGAGGGGCAGCACAAGGAGCAAUCUGAGGUGGCGACCGGCGCACGGGUGAGUAACACGUAUGCAACCUGCCUGUAAGCGGGGAAUAACCCGUUGAAAGACGGACUAAUACCGCAUAAUACUAAAUUACUGCAUGGUAAUUUAUUUAAACAUUUAUGGCUUACAGAUGGGCAUGCGCAUGAUUAGCUAGUUGGAGAGGUAACGGCUCCCCAAGGCAACGAUCAUUAGGGGUUCUGAGAGGAAGGUCCCCCACACUGGUACUGAGACACGGACCAGACUCCUACGGGAGGCAGCAGUGAGGAAUAUUGGUCAAUGGACGAGAGUCUGAACCAGCCAAGUCGCGUGCAGGGAAAAGAAUGUCCUAUGGAUUGUAAACUGCUUUGCAGGGGAAUAAAGUGAGCCACGUGUGGUUUUUUGUAUGUACUCUGCGAAUAAGGAUCGGCUAACUCCGUGCCAGCCGCCGC